rnacentral:lncRNA from 1 species
AUGCGGCUGGAGUGCGUCUGCGGAGCCUUAAAGGAGAAGCCUCAGGCUCCUGCCGCGGCUUCUCCACAAGGUGGUGAGGGCUCGUCUCCAGGUGCUCUCCUCCAGCCUGAAGCCCAGGCAGAGCUGCCUUCAGGGCCUGGGCCUUUGCGGCCCACUCGGUGCUGGCGGUCCCACCGCGGGAGCUGGCCACUGCGAGGCAGCGGGUGGAGACUGUGGGAGGCUGCUGCUCUCAGCCUCCUUAUCCAAGGCUUCGUCCAGGAGUUUGCAGAGGUUCCCAAACUUCUCCUUGCUCUCUUGCAUUUUCUUCUCUUCCUCCUCCUCCUCCUCAUCGGGCAGCUCCAGGCUCUGAUGGGCAGGGUAUGCAAAGGACCGAGUUCUGGGUCAGGGACUAUUAUCAAAAUCCGUGCAGCAAUCCUCGGGCGCAGCCAUUCUCACCUCUGUUUUAUCGGAAGAUGAAAUGACUCACGACGGCUCGUGUCUCCUAAGAGGAAGAUCAAGGAUUUAAAGCCAGAUAUCUCAUUCCAAAGCCAGCUCUGAGCCACUGGGCAGACGUUUGUAACCACGGGGGAGAUUAAUUAUCGACCAGGUUUUCAUGUCUCCACAAAUGUGGCUGGAAAAUACGCUUCAGUUGCCUUGUGGCUAAAGGUAGGAAAACACCCACCCCGCUGCUGCCUGGCAGAGGGGGGUGCCCACGUGCUGUUUGUACAGAAGAAGCGCCUGGUCAGCGGGGCUUCCUUUCCCUGGCUUGGGAGCCCUGGUCACCAGCGUCUCUGCCCUCUCUGGACUCCAGCAUGCUGGUAGGUCGGCCCUGGAAGUCCCUUGCUAAUCCCCGACUUCGGAGGAGGGUCUUGAAUGUAGCCAAAGACUCCAACAACUGACAGGUCAUUCACUCCCUCAUUGUCUCUCAGAAAAGAGAGAUUGACUUCCCAUUCAAGUCCUUGCUAAAUCUGUCGUGUUAUAAGACUUUGUCUCAGUCACUUAAUUGUGACCCACAAAGCACUCUUUGGGAAUGACCUAUUAGUCCAAAAUAACUUCAGCCAGUGCUGUGCUUUACGUCCUCACAAGGUCACUUACUGGAGCAAAAAUGGAGACAAAAACACUAAGCACCGACUUAGACAUUUUUCCUGAUAAUUGCAAGUGUUGGAUGUUGUAAACAAGCCCUUUAAAGAUCCCUUUAAAAAACAAUACACUAAGUGGUUAGUUCACAGAGCUCAUGAAUAGAGAAUGGGUACUUGGGACUAGGAGUGUAAUUUCCAGUGACAGCAGCAUCUCCAGAUGCAAAACAUCCUGUAUCUUAAGUGGCUUCGAUGGCAGCAAAGCUGAUGCACUCUGGAAAGCUGUGCUAGACGACUUGAGAAGCGGCACUCGUGAUGACAAAGACGCCCGUGUUCAAGAUGGAUGUGAAGAGUGAGUAGAGUUGGUUCAUGAAUUAAAUGUGGACAUAGAAAGAGGCAGU